rnacentral:rRNA from 1 species
AUUGAACGCUGGCGGCGUGCCUAACACAUGCAAGUCGAGCGGUAACAGGUGUAGCAAUACAUGCUGACGAGCGGCGGACGGGUGAGUAACGCUUGGGAAUCUGCCUAUUAGUGGGGGACAACCCGGGGAAACUCGGGCUAAUACCGCAUACGCUCUACGGAGGAAAGCCGGGGACCGCAAGGCCUGGCGCUAAUAGAUGAGCCCAAGUCGGAUUAGCUAGUUGGUAGGGUAAUGGCCUACCAAGGCGACGAUCGGUAGCUGGUCUGAGAGGACGACCAGCCACACUGGGACUGAGACACGGCCCAGACUCCUACGGGAGGCAGCAGUGGGGAAUAUUGGACAAUGGGCGCAAGCCUGAUCCAGCGAUGCCGCGUGUGUGAAGAAGGCCU